UUUUUAAUUGGAAGCUGGAAUGAAGGUUUAAAACUGAGGAGAAUGUUUUAUUAAAUAAAUUUGAAUUUAAAUUAAAAGUAUAAAUGCUUUUAUGAAGUUUUGGGACGAGAAGACCCUAGAAGCUUUAAAAUUUAAGAAUUUUUUGUUGGGGUAACACUUGAAGAUAUUAAUUUUUGAUUUUUAAAUGGAAAUUAUAUAAGUUACUCUAGGGAUAACAGCAUUAUUUAAUUAGCAAGUUCUUAUUAAUAAUUAAGUUUGUGACCUCGAUGUUGAAUUAAUUUUAAUUUUUGGUGAAGGAGCUAAAUAAGGAUAGUCUGUUCGACUAUUAAAAAAUUACAUGAUUU
rnacentral:rRNA from 1 species